CAACACACACACCACCCUGCACCGACCCCCCCCCCCCCCCCCCCCCAAACCCCCCAAACCCAUACCAGGACUUUUGCUUCCCCAAAGAGGAGGAUGACCAAGAGGAUGGCCAGAAGUUGCACACACUGCAGAAAGAGAGAGAGAGUUGGAGAGAGAGAGAGAAAACAGGAAGAUGGAAAAGGAAGGAAUGGACAGAGCACAGCACAGAGGACAGAGGAGUGGAACAGAGCGCACAAGCCGUUUCACAAACACACCGUGACUCCGUGACCCUGCGAGCAUGGGCUGGCAUGCAGUUAAAGAGACAACACACACUUGCACCACAACACACGCAGGGCCAGAUCGGGCCCACAUCAGAGCCAGAUCGGAGAUAUCAGAGCCACAUCAGAGCCAGAUCAGGGCCAGAUCGGAGCCAGAUCAGAGCCAGAUCAGAAGGAGCCACAUCAGAGCCAGAUCGGGAGCGGGUCCAUGCGAGGCUCUGUGGCAUAGUAGAGUUGCCUGCUGUGUAGGGGACAUGAGACGCUCAAGACUGUAGGAAUGUUGCUAUGAUGAGAGACGUGCAGCUUGUAUAUCAAUGUAAAAUACCACCGUUUAUUUGUAAAAUACCACGCUUUGUUUGUUUGUAAAAUACCACGCUUUGUUUGUUUGUAAAAUACCACCGUUUAUUUGUAAAAUACCACGCUUUGUUUGUUUGUAAAAUACCACGCUUUGUUUGUAAAAUACCACGCUUUGUUUGUUUGUAAAAUACCACACUUUGUUUGUAUGAACAUUCUGUAAAUGCUGCUGGUAUGGGAAUAAUGCUGCUGGUAUGGUAUUGAAUGAAGAGGUUGUGUAUGAUCCAUAUUCCCAUGGAUGGAUAUGGGUAUGGCCGUUCUUUUAGGUAACAUCCCAAAGUCACAAAAACACAGUUAUAAACAGCCUGCUAAUGACCCCACUGUGUUGCAUGUAAACAUUGUUUUUAUGAGAUAGAUGUUAUUUUGACUAAAGCUUUAGAGCAUGGUGUAGAUAUGUAGUUGGAGAGUUGUUUGGUUAAAGUGUGUGUGUGUGUGUGUGUCUGUGUGUGUACGUUUACAUACAGCAGGUAUAGACAUUGCUGUUAGUAUGCAUGUCUGUAUUAAUGUACAUAGCAUCUGUCCUGGUGUCCAUAUGGUAUGUGCCUAUGUAUAUGAGCAAGUCUUUCUCAGAGGGAGAUAAAGUGUGUGUGUGUGUGUGUGUGUGUGUGUGUGUGAGUGUGGGUUGGGGUGGUCCCGUCCAGUCUAAAUCAUUUAGUGUCCAAUAAUCAGUCAUCUCAAUGAAAGCAGCUUUUAGGUCUCACUGAAGAUGAAUUGUGUGCAUUCUGCUGGCUCCUCGUUUGUCAAACGUUACGUAACGUUGUAGAAGCACGCUGACGAGGUCAAAGGUCAGGCAGUCCCCCCACAGGCCAACACCAUCCUGUAUGGUCCGUCUAAGGAGGCAAAGUUCUGUGGUUGCCAAGGAAACCAUGCACAGAUAACCCUGCUGGGGCAUGAUGGGGAAACGUGCCGUGCGAACUAACACACUCUCCAGGACGGGAUGUUCUGUUACAGGCGGGCUCGGGGGGGGGGGGGGGGUUCCCUGCCCGAAGACCAACAGCUUUUCCAUCAGUGUCUCACACUAAUGAGAAAGACAGGGGCGUAUGGAUGUGUGUGUGUGUGUGUGUAUAUACCACCCUUUCAUCUCACUCUAGUGUAAAACGAGUGGGGAUGCUCCUACCACCCUCCAUGUAGGACUAACAUGCUGCUUAACUCCCUGGUCAUUACAGUGGUCCUCUGUUUAACUCCCUGGUCAUUACAGUCACUACUGGCGCCAGCUUUUCUCAGUCCGUGCCUUCCCUGGGGUUCCAGCCCAAGGCCAGCAGGUUGCAGUGGUCAACAGUGGUCAUUUCCCGCCUCUUCUGGUUGUGCUGGUGGCCAGGCAUCAGACGGCCCGUUAACGGGCACUCGUAACCGGAGAGCGAUUCUGAGUACAACAAGACUGUGAUGCGGCUUACAUGACCCACGAGGUGACAUAAAAACGUCCCUUGAUAUCUAGUGUGUACUUUAUAUACUGUACUGCCUAUCCAAGUGUUCUGAAUACUAAGGAGUAUACUUCAUAUCCCUGGAAAAGAGAUGUGUACUUAAAUCAUGUCAUAUAAUAGCAGUGUACCUCUAAGUACUUUAUAAAGGGGAAUGCAGUAUGCAUGGGCCACUCUUGGCCUGAUCUAAGGCUGUGAGAGAGUGUGUGUGUGUGUCUGUGAUUGAUAAGUAACUGUGAUUGGUUUUGGUGUCAGAUAUGUUUAAUAUUGUAUGUAUACUGUACAAUAAUGUAAUGGAUGGAAUAUUUCAAUAUGCAUAUUGCAUCUCUGUUCAAGAUUAUUAUUAUUUUUCAAAAAAUAAAGUUCAUAUUUCUAA